rnacentral:rRNA from 1 species
AUUGAACGCUGGCGGCAGGCUUAACACAUGCAAGUCGAGCGGGGUGAUGGUGCUUGCACUAUCACUUAGCGGCGGACGGGUGAGUAAUGCUUAGGAAUCUGCCUAUUAGUGGGGGACAACAUCUCGAAAGGGAUGCUAAUACCGCAUACGUCCUACGGGAGAAAGCAGGGGAUCACUUGUGACCUUGCGCUAAUAGAUGAGCCUAAGUCGGAUUAGCUAGUUGGUGGGGUAAAGGCCUACCAAGGCGACGAUCUGUAGCGGGUCUGAGAGGAUGAUCCGCCGCACUGGGACUGAGACACGGCCCAGACUCCUACGGGAGGCAGCAGUGGGGAAUAUUGGACAAUGGGGGGAACCCUGAUCCAGCCAUGCCGCGUGUGUGAAGAAGGCCUUAUGGUUGUAAAGCACUUUAAGCGAGGAGGAGGCUCUUUUGGUUAAUACCCAAGAUGAGUGGACAUUACUCGCAGAAUAAGCACCGGCUAACUCUGUGCCAGCCGCCGCAGUAA